rnacentral:tRNA from 1 species
GUGGCCGAUAGACUAGCGGCAGCAUAAAAACUGAAUCCACACGAACGGGGAUACUCGGAAGCCGGUUCAAAUCCGGCGCGGCCCCGCCA